ACAGAUGUUUUGAGUUCUUACCAAUUACAUGCCUAGAGUGUAAAAAACUCUGGGUCACUGGUUCUGAUUUUGACCUUUCCAUUCAUAAGAGAAAGACUGAGCUCUCUGAGAAUAUACUAACAUAUGGAAACCAAUUAUUUGCUCUCACUUUAACUCUACAGACUAUCAAAAAGAAAAAUAACACAACACACUCUGGCUUCAAGGCAUGUAAAAUAAAACAGUACCGUAUACACAGACUGAAGAGCAUGUUUCAGGAGAAAGGCAGCACUUUAGUAUUUGACAUUAGUAAAUAUACCUUGCAGUAAGUUCAACCAAGAAAGACUAUAGUUUUUUCAUUCACAUGGGAUGAAUAUUUUUCUUUUAUGCCACUGUUUCACCAUAUAUGCCACACCAUAUAUGAUACUCUAGGAUAACCAGCCAACAAGGCAUAUUUUAAUUGCCAUGCAUGCAUAGGCAACAUGGCAGUGUAAAUACCAGAACCUGUAAGUGAGCAGCAUGCUUUACAUGGAAUGGCUGUUUCAGGGUUCCAAGGUCGUCAGCUUACUCUGUGAGCAGAGGACUUUGCAUGUUGGAGGAUGUGGAGGCAAAAUUGCUGUCUCAGGAUUACUGAUGUGUCUGAGACAAGGCAUGGGGCAAGUGGGUUGUGGGAAACUGAAAGGAGGCUUUCCCCUAUUCCUGGAAAUGUCUCUGCCCCAUCUCCAUGAAAACAUGGGGGAGCUUAGAUGUCCAGGGUGAGAUCCCACAGAGAUUUGUCAAGAACUAGGCAGGCCUGCAUUUGGGAUGCAUCCAUAGCCUGCAUCACCAUCCAUGACCUGCAGCUUGGGACUGGAAGGAGGAUGGAUAUCCAGAGAUUCCAGUCACCAAGAAGCUGCCUCUGUUAUGACUUCACUCUAACAGGCACAAAACAGGGCUAUAAUAUCUAGACAAAGUACUCUCACCCCUGUAGCUUCUUUGAUGUGCAGAGAAUUAACUGCCCAUGGGUCAGCAACAUUUUCAAGCAGCCUUACCAUGAAGUGCAACUCUAAUGAUAGAAGAGGGUCAUCUGCCUCUCCCAGGCUCCCUGGUCACUUGUGCAAGCUCAGGCAAUGAGACAAUGCAGCUGCUGGCAGCUUGAAUGCCUGGGAGUGAAAGCUAUGGGGUUUCAACUUUGAAUGCCCAGCAUUGUGAUUUAGAAGGACCUUGUUGUCCCCCUUGCUUGAAGCCAACCAACUCUCUUUAUUUAGAAAAAAUAUUAUUUUAUUUUUUAAAGAAAAAAGUCUUUGCUGAUCCAACAACUUUGCUUGUGUUCUGCUAGCUCCAGUAAUAUUGAUGUAUGGAAAGAGAUCAGCCCUGGAGUUUUAAUAAUAUGUGAGCUGCAGCCUUGCUCUGCAAGUGGAUGGGAUUGUAAUAGUGUCUGCUAAAACUAUUCCUGCCAAAACAAACACCAGGAAAGAUUUCUUUUCCGUAUACCAAAGUCUCACUUUAGCACUUGCCAGGGAACACUUUCCUCCUCCUGUCUUCUGCCUGUGCUGGACAAAUAAAGAGGGCACAGCAGUUCUGGAGGACUGCCUGAAAGGUUGUAGGCUGCAGUCCUUAAUGCAGUGCUCUUUGUAUGCUCAGAAAGGGCUUUACUCUUUCAUUUCAGAACUUUUAUAGGACCUUAGGGCUGGGGCCUGCAUUCUUCUGCAGUAAGCUCACAAAAUUAGAUUCCCUUUGGACUUGCAAACCUUGGCCACGUUCAUAUUUUAUGUGAGCCACUCUGCACAACUGAUUCUUCUGGUGUUUAUUUUUCUUGAUUUGAAAUAAUUCUUAUUUUCCUCCGAGGAAACCUUGCCUGUUAACGACUGCUAGCUGUAGCAUGCCAUCAACUAUCCUCAGGUCUUCUCCCAUGGCUCUGUCUUAUCUCAUCCAUCACCUCCAGACGUGAGGUCAGAGGUUACAUGAAGUAGAGGGAAAAAAAUUAUGCUUGUGAAGAACUGAAUUGUUUUGCUUUAAAAUGUUGUCCAGAGGUUAGUUAUAGAAGCCUUCUUGGCUCAAGUGGUCUUCUCUCCUGUAGGAAUGGGGAGUCAAAGUUUCCCAGUGGUUAAGUUGUAGCUUUGGGCAUACUGAUAACAAAAACACAUGCUACCAUACUGACUGAUGAUAAUUAGAAGAUACUCUUUGCAGUUGUGUGACUGUAUUUAUCCUUGUGGUUUUUUGGGAGUGUAUGUGUAUCUCUCUCUCUCUAUUUGUAGUUACAAAUGUCUGUGAAAGUGAGAUGUGAACCAGAUCUGUUCCUCACAGCCCCUUGCCUCUUCAAGACAACACCCAGACUCUGAAUACAAGCCCAGGAGUCACUGGAGAGGAGUUGAUUCUUCCCUCACACCAAGAUGGGGAGCAGCCAGGAGUGGUGUUGAUAUAAUGGUAGACAAAAAGUGCAGCUCUGCUAAACUGCUGUUGUAAAAGACAGGUUUUAUCUUCCUUUGAACUGACAGAGUGGCCUUGAGAAGGUGAAGAAGACCUAUCAGGUUACCCAUAGAUAAACAAAUGCAGAAACAUCUUUAA